rnacentral:tRNA from 1 species
ACCGAAAUAGCUGUGUUGGCAGAGCGUUAAUCUAUAGAUCGAAAGGCCCCUGGUUCGAGUCUGGAAUUCGGCA